rnacentral:rRNA from 1 species
CCUACGGGUGGCAGCAGUGGGGGAUAUUGCACAAUGGGGGAAACCCUGAUGCAGCGACGCCGCGUGAGUGAAGAAGUAUUUCGGUAUGUAAAGCUCUAUUAGUAGGGAAGAAAAUGACAGUACCUGGCUAACAAGUCUUUGCGAAUUACGACCUAGCAGCCGCGGUAAUACGUCGGGGGCAAGCGUUAUCCGGAUUUACUGGGUGUAAAGUGAGCGGAGAUGGUUAUGUAAGUCUGAAGUGAAAGCCCGCGGCGCAACCCCAGGACUGCUUUGGAAACUGUGGAACUGGAGUACAGGAGGGGCAGGCGGAAUUCCUGGUGUAGCGGUGGAAUGCGUAGAUAUCAGGAGGAACACCAGCGGCGAAGGCGGCCUGCUGGACUGAAACUGACGUUGAGGCUCGAAAGCAUGGGGAGCAAACAGGAUUAGAUACCCGUGUAGUC